UCCUACGGGGGGCAGCAGUGAGGAAUAUUGGUCAAUGGUCGGGAGACUGAACCAGCCAAGCCGCGUGAGGGAUGAAGGUACAGAGUAUCGUAAACCUCUUUUGUCAGGGAACAAAGGCGGGGACGUGUCCUCGGAUGAGUGUACCUGAAGAAAAAGCAUCGGCUAACUCCGUGCCAGCAGCCGCGGUAAUACGGAGGAUGCGAGCGUUAUCCGGAUUUAUUGGGUUUAAAGGGUGCGCAGGCGGUCUUUUAAGUCAGCGGUCAAAGCCCGGGGCUCCACCCCGGCCCGCCGUUGCAACUGGCAGU
rnacentral:rRNA from 1 species